rnacentral:rRNA from 1 species
AAUUGGCCCAAAGGGACUACUACAGGAGGCAGCAGUGGGGAAUAUUGGACAAUGGGCGAAAGCCUGAUCCAGCCAUGCCGCGUGUGUGAAGAAGGUCUUCGGAUUGUAAAGCACUUUAAGUUGGGAGGAAGGGCAGUUACCUAAUACGUGUAUGUUUUAAGUACCGACGAGAUAACAACG